rnacentral:rRNA from 1 species
GACGAAGGAUGCAAGCGUUAUCCGGAAUUAUUGGGCGUAAAGCGUCCGUAGGUGGCAGUUCAAGUCUGCUGUCAAAGACCGGGGCUUAACUUCGGAAAGGCAGUGGAAACUGAACAGCUAGAGUAUGGUAGGGGCAGAGGGAAUUCCUGGUGUAGCGGUGAAAUGCGUAGAGAUCAGGAAGAACAUCGGUGGCGAAGGCGCUCUGCUGGACCAUAACUGACACUAAGGGACGAAAGCUAGGGGAGCGAAUGGG